rnacentral:tRNA from 1 species
GGCCUCGUAGCUCAGUUAGUGGAGCAUGCACUGUACAGAAGCGUAGGCGGCUUCCGUGCGUGGGUUCGAACCCCACCAAGGCUA